AGUGUUAUAUAAAAAAGAGGUAAGGGGGGAGUGUUACCUUCAAAAGAGGUAAGGGGGUAGUGUUACCUUCAAAAGAGGUAAGGGGGUAGUGUUAUAUAAAA